ACUCAUCGAAAAGGGCCACGGUAUUC
rnacentral:piRNA from 1 species